UAUAAAUUGGAGUUUUUUAAUAUUUUUUAAUUUUGGACUAUUUUAUCCAACGUGUAAAAGUAGUGCUUUUAUCUAUACUCCAGUAAAAUUUCUGUAGAUGGCGCGUCGUGUCCAUGAUCAACAGAAUUAUAAGAAUUUUGUAGAAAUGCGCAUUGAGAUAUCUGUGCGCAGAACAAGAUUUAUAAAAAACGUAUCGUUUAUUCUUUAUAAUUCUUUCAAAGGUACAUAUUUAAUACUAUCCAAUCCAUAAGCAAAGAAAAAAGAUAUUAAAAUUUGUAUAAACAAGGAAUCUAAUUAACAAUUAAAUUUUUUCCAGGAUCAGUCAGGUUUGAGUAAAAGUUGGACGUAUUUCUGUUUGAAAAUUAACGUAAUACAUUGAGUCAGUAAUACCAGUUAGUAUGAUUUUUCUAUUCGAUUAUUGCAGCGAAAUUAUCGUCGAUGAAUCAUGGGGAUGUGCACGACGAAGAAGUUGCGAUGUUGAACGUAACGACUAAGUAUAAUUGAUCGAUUGAAUAAAUGCCCAUUAGCCGGAGCUUGAGUCCAAGCGAUCGAAUCUUCGCGAUUCGUUCCUAAAUCAUCGAGAACGGAUUUUCGUUGAGCAAUAAUGUCGACUGACGUGUUACGAUACUAAUCGUAAUUCUAAGUGGAUGAAAGAAAAAAAAAAGGAAAAAAAAUGAAAGAAAGAAAGGAAAAAGAAAAAUAUUUAGACGUUCGAACGAUGGAUGGGUCGGUUUUUUAUCUGAAUUUCGAAAUAUUCAAUCGAUGAUUUCCAAAGGUUAUUGUACUUAGAGCAAGACUGACAUUUCCGACGUGACUCCUCCUCAAUUUCAUUGGCUCGAGUGAUAUUUAUUUCCUUGAUCUUUCAACGCGACCACGAUCACAACUACGGCGAAGAUAAUCGGCGAUGAUGAUCAUCAUUAUAAACGCGCUUUAACGAUGAAUGACGACGAUGAAGAAGAAAAAGAUUGAAAAAUAAAAAUAAUAAGAAAAAGAAGAAGAAGAAGGUGAAGAGAAUGGUCCUGAUUUUCUGGAAUAUCGGUCCACAAUCGACAACGAGUGGACUUCGUUUCCAUCGUCACGAUCGAUCAUCCAACCAACGAACGACCGACCGAGCAACCGAACGAUCGAUCGAUCGAUCGAAGGUCGAAUAAUGCAAGAAAGUGCCCGGUACAUCCUGCAUCUCGUAUUCUCACGGUGCACCUCGUCUCAUGUUCACCGCCCGUAAAUUGCAAUUUCAUUAUUAUUUCGCAAUUAGUUGGCGAACGACUGACAAGAAAAAAAUAUACACACAGACAGAGGGUGUGUGCGCGCGUGUGUAUGUGUGUGUAUAAGAAAGAUGACAACGCAAGGACGACAAGAAAACUUAGUAGGAGGAUGAGAAACGAAAAGAGAGAGAAAGAGAGAGAGAGAAAAUGGACCGAUGUCCAUGGUUCGAUAAAAGAUAUAUUUUUUACUUUUGCACUCUCAUCCUUGAUGGAAUAAAAUCGAAGAUAAAAAUUUUAACCUGUCGAUAAAUCUUCCGCGCGUGUUUAGUCAAUUAUCCCUUUACGAGCUCGUAAAAGUGCUACUUCCUUGAUUUCAGAGUGGGUGCUUUCAAGAUCUCAAGGAAGAGUCUUUAAAUAGAAAAGUAGUUUAGGUGUAACGAGGAGUCGACAUCGGGUACAUUUAUAGUAUCCACUAACACAGUUUUGGUUACUCGACCAAAAUCAAUAUCGAAACUCGCGAUAUCUUAAUUAUUAUGGAAAUCGAUAUCUGUUGUGAUGAUUGAAAGGGUUUCAACGUGAUUAGAGUUAAAACGGUGAAAAUCCAUACGGUCAAAAUUAAUAUAGGAUAUUAAAGAUGUUUUGUUGGUGUAAUUAAUAUAGGGUAUAUGGUCAAAGUUAUUUUGGUCCAUCCUGUAUUUAUCGAUAUAUUAUUAUAAUCAUAAUAUUAUUUCAUUAUUGUCUCUUACUAUAAUAGGAUUAGUAUCGAUAAUAGAUUGCGUAUAUAGAGUAUAUUAAUCGAUAUUAAUAUAAUCUGUGUGACGAUAUAAAGAUAUGGAAAUUUAUUCGUCGAGAGCGAGAGUGAGAGAAAGGGGGAAAGAGAGAAAGAGAGAGAGAGAGAGAGAGAAAGAGUUUUGUCAUUUUUAAAAAUCUUUUUAUUCUUUUUAUUCGCCUAGAUUGCUGUGGUUGUCAUUCAUUAGACGAUUCUCAGCACGUCCUCAUUCCGUUACUUCGCGUUCUCGUUCAUCAAUGUUCGCGCGGCUGAUAGGUAAUUAGUUGCAUUCUCUACGGUAUCUUCUCUGUUGCCUUUGAAAUACAACGAAUUACUCUCUCCUCUUAGAACGCCUUUUGCGGACCUUUUGUUGUCAUCCUUGCCAUCGGUUUCUUUAUCUAUAGGUUUCUUUCUCUCCUUCUCUGAUGGUGAUCUCGAUCGAGGAAAAAUCAGACCGAUCGAUCCUUUUACUCGUCUAUCAUUUACUUCACAGAGUAACUAGUUCUUUCUCUAAUAUUAAACUUUUUAAAAAAUUUUAUAAUGGAACGAAGAAAACGACGUAUUUAAGUAAUUUAAAUAAUUAUGACAAUUGA